GUAUGAGGGUGUUGGAAGCCCUGGAACUGGAGUUACAGACAGCUGUGAGAUGCCUCGUGGUUGCUAGGAAUUGAAUCCAGCUCCCCUGAACCACCAGCUCACACCCGACUCACACCUCCCAGUUCCCCUUUCCAGCCCUCACCUUCUUACAGAAACAGACCCACACUCGUGUACCCUGGAGCUCACCCCAGCAUGGACUGGGCAUGAUCUCAAGGAAGGACAAGCUCACAGUAGUCCCUCACUCAGACAGUACUGACUCAGUGCCCUCGAAUCAGAGAAGCAGACGGCUUCUCCCUCCUCCUUUCAGCCAACAAAACACCGCCACGAGAGGUGGUAGGUUCCGAGCCAGUGGGGUUCAGGGACACAAAGAAGCACCACAGCUGCUGCUUAGCACCCUCCAAACCACACCCCAACUGCACACCACACCACCACCGCAGCAGCCCACCAUGCCAUACUUCCCCUACUGGGCCCUGUUGGGCUAUAGAAAAAAAUGUCCUACAAAGAAACAAUAUAAGUAUUUUCUAUUGCUUCCCAGGACCGGAGCAAAGCCCUUACCUCGGAAGAGUGUCACCCUCAGAACACCCUCCUCCCCCAAAAAAUACACAAACCACUUGGCAUGGUUAAAAGCUGACAGGGCAUGGGAAGGGAUAUUCCACAAGGGUUGACACAGUUUUCAGGCUCACAACAGGAUACCUUUAAAAGAAGCCCACCUUCUACCAUGAGAAACGAAAGACAGAAAUAGACUCCACAGCAGCAAGGGAAGGGACUGGCAGGCGUGGGGGUUUUUUUUCUCUUCUUUUUUUAAAGAUUUGUUCUGAUCUAUGUUCUCCCACUAAUAGUUUAAGCAAACCCACAUUGUUCCCAAGGAGAUAUUCCUUACUAAAAGCUGGUUGCCACAGCUCUGCUCAGCACUACUCUGGAAUUCUAUUCUCCAAACUGGGAUGCCUCCUUUCACAGCAAGGGUCAGGCCAUCCUGGGAAAUCAGCAAGAGGACAAGUGUAGGUGUACCUCACACUGUGACCCACAGACUUAGGACUCUCUUCCUUAUGGUCCACCAAGUGAUCUCCUCAAACCCAAGGACCAGAGAGGGAUAAGGAUGCACCUAGGUCACACAGUAAGCCAGAGGCCAAGGAUACCAGCCCUGGCUUUCAAUGCUGAUUUUAUACAUUCACCUGCAUAACGUUUUUUGCUGGCUAUCCAUCACUCUUGGCAAGCAGACAGCCCCAGGAGGGUCUGCUUCAGACUGCCCUAUUCACUGGUGAUAUCUGCACAGUCUGGAAGGAAUAAGUACCUGCUAGGUGGGUGGAUGAGUGGGUCCAAGCCUGGACCAAUAGAUGUUGAAAGAAUAGGCUCUCAUUUCAGGAUGGGGGUGUACUUCUGUGAGCCACGCCCCUCUGCUAGAUGCUGGAGUAUCUCCCCUCCUCUCAGUGUGUCCCCAGCUGGUGGUCAGGUGGAUAUUCCGCAAGCUCACAGAGGUCCAAGAUCAGGCCGGGGACAGAGCUCUAGGAGCCCAGGCAGGGAAGUUCAAGUCCACUUUGAUUCUUGUGAUCUUUGGCUUCCUGGAUGUUAAGCACCACCUGGGGUCAAGGAAUGGUUCUUGGACCAGAAAGCUUCAAGCUAUACGGAGGAGUGGGGAGAAGAUGGAGAACAAAGGACUGGGUUCAGCUGAGAACCCCAGCCUACAAGGAGAGGUGAGCCAGAUCUGGUAAUGAUUCUAGCAUCAAACUCUUCUUUUGAGUUAGUCACAGAGUUCACAGAGCGCUAACGGAGCCACUGGAAGCCGCUUGAGCAGGAGAUCGGCUCAGCAUUCCCUCCUAGAUGGUACAGAGAGGUGCCCAGAGACAUGGCGGGUGGUCAGGAGGCUGGAUACCAGGUGCCAGCUGGUGAUAGAAUGAAGGUCCUUGAAAUCAUGACCAGCCUUCCAUUGGGGCUGAUCGGCCCUGGAGCAGGGGCAGAGUCCUCAGAACGGCCCUUUUCCAGCGCCCUUCACCCACUAGGCAUGACUGCACAGAUCCACAGGCUAGCCACACUUCUCUACCCCCUGCCAAGCAUCUAGCAACCUCAGCCUUCGGGCUUUCCAUAGGAAGGGGGUUGGUUGAUGGAACAUGGCAACUAGUAACAUUCCACUUCUACCCUGUUACGAGCACCAUGGAAACAGGACACUCAGAAUGUCCCAGCUAGGAGACCUAGCCUCAAAGCUCCAUCUACUAAAUGGAGAUACCAAGGCUGGGGUGGAAGGGUGGGGGAUGGAGAUGGGACAAGGUGAACAGACUAACCAACCAGUCCAGGAGACGGGUAGGCUCAGUUAGCAGAUGUCUCCUGUCCACUGGAUGCCCAACAAGUGUGGGCAGAAUGUCCUUCUCGCCCACCCUUCCCCCAUGCAUCUUAGUCCUGGGCUGACCAGAACAGUUCAUCAGUACCAGGCUCCAGGUUCUUCCCCAAGCUCUCUGGGAGUUGGGUCCUGGAUUGUGAUUCUCUCUCAAGCAGCCUGCCCUUGGGGAGGGGGAGGGUGGCGCUUCCUUCCCGCCCUGUUCCCAUUAACUGAGACUAAAUAACAUCAGGGAAACACUGAGGUGAGGGUCUGGGGUGUGGCUCAGUGGCACAGAACCUGCCUAACUGUAGAAAUCCUGGGUUCCAGCCCCAGAAAAGUCGGUUGCACAAAAUCUUGCCAGUGUCCUUAACCUACCUCCCAGAAGGGGAGUUUUACAUAAUCAGAAUGGUGGGCACAGCAGAGGCAGGGAAACUGAAUAAUAGGUAAUUUGAAGGCUGGAUCUCUUCCAAGGAGAAACACCUCACCAGAGCUCCCAGUCCCUGAGGUGGGUGGGUGGGGCUGGUUAGCUGAGUGAUCCCAAAGUCCACAGUCCCUGAACUCCACAGUCAAUGGACCACUCUUCCGCACACCUGCGACCUGUUCCCAAGUGCCUGCCCUCAGCAUAAAAGGCCUGGGAUUGUACAUUAACCUCCAGAUACUCAUCUUCCCCCACUCCCUAUGUUGGUCUCCCUCUCCCGAGGGACUGCAAGCCGCCCAGCACCAGACACUGGUUUAUUCAUUGCUGCCCUUCCGACCCCUGGGAUGGUGCCUGACAUACAGUAGGUGCUCAGUAAGCAUCUGCGGUGCAACCGGUGGUACACACCUGCAGUUUCAGCCACCUGGGAAGCUGAGGCAGGAGAAUUGAAUGGGUGAGAUCCUGUAUUUAAAAAGACACGUGUUCCUCCUGUCAGUGGUAAGGGCUCAGGCGGCUGUUCACCUUCAGGGCAAGUUGGAAGUCACUGAGUGAGGCGACACCCUCACUGAGCUGUAGUCUGGGUGGUCAGCUAGGACAGAAGAGGCCAGCGGGUCACAAGCCAAGGAUGUGCACAGUGGACCGGCGUGGGCUUGUAUGUUCUGCAGUGUGUUCUGCAGGGCAUUCUGCAGGGUGGCAGGUCAUAAUGGGCCAUUGUUUGUACAGACCAAGUGGCAGAACCUGGAACAGUACGGUGCUGUUUUUGUUAAAAACAAAACCAAACCACAGCUGGCUGGCUGGCUGGCUGGCUGGCUGGCUGGCUGACUGACCUGCUGAGCAAAUCCUUACACCCACAAGGAAAUGAAAACGGACCCAGAAAGUGAUAAAAGCAGACUGCGUUCCGACAGACACUCCAGGGACCACACAGCUAAAGUUGCAUGUGAGAGCAAUAGAUCGCCUUAAGGUCUUUAUUUAGUCAUUUUUAGCGUUGGGGAUAGAACCCAGGGCCUCACACUUGGCAAGUACACACUCGGUAGCUUAUACCCUCAACCUAGCCUUAUAUAUGGAUAUUUUGUAAUGAUCUAAAGGGGAUACAUUUUAGCUUAUAACAGUUCUGUAUCACUUGAGGUAUACAGUUCUUGUAACUAAACAUGAAUCAUUUGGUAGUUUGUCAAAUGAAAUGGUAUGUCCAUUCAAAAAUCUAGCGCACAAGGUCCGCAGGAGAUUCUCUCACAAUCCUACACCUACAGACGAAGCAUCUGCAGGACAGAUGGACAAGCUGUUUUAUGGUUAUGCCUCUUGCCCAGAGGGCACUCUAUAGUAUUCGAACACAGAAAGCAAUGACCUCCAGUUUACACUGCUUUCUAUCCCCCUCACACAUAAUCAAGAUAAAGUUUAAUUUAUAAAUUAGUCAUUCUGAGAGCAACGGCUCAUAAUAAAACAGAACUAUAACCCUAUGCUGUCAUAAAAUGUAUCCAGCAACACAUGAAACUGCUCAUUUCUGGAAUUUUCCAUUUAACAGUCAGUGCUACGGUUAGCCAUACAUAAUGCACACAUACAUACAGUACCAGGAUUACAAGGGUGAUUCACCAUGCCUGGCACAAAUCCACUGAUAUGAGGAGGUGACUUGGCAAAAUUCAUUCACAGUGACAGACAUCUCAAAGUGACUCUCUUAAGGGGCGGAGAGGGCUGGGGAUGUGGUUCAGUGGCAUAGUGUCUGACAAGCAAGGGUGAAGUCCUUAUCCCCUCCUCAAGCAGAAAAGCAAGGCGUGGAGGAGCUAAAGAGAAACCAUUGCAGAAAAGACAGCCGCUGUGUGAGCAGGAGAACGAAUGUGCUCAGUGACUCAUGGCACCUUAUCACUGAGACCUUUGGAAACUUUUGGAGAAUUAAACCUCUCACAAGUCAAGGGAGGGGGCUUUGGGAGAACCCAGCCCCAGGCUUUCGGUGCACAGGAUCAGUCAGGCGUAUGAACUCAGUAUGUGAGAGGCCAUGGACUGUCAGAGCAGUCACAAGUCUCAAGCAGGGCAGCCUGCGCUGAAUCCAGCCCCAGAUACUCCGCUGCUUUGCCUGUGCUGGGCUCCAUCCACCGUGAUUUGGGUUCAUUGCCAGGAAUCAAAAUAGAGCAUGCCCACUAGCCUGCUGCAGCCUGGGACUCAGCCAAAGCUGGAGCCCCAAGCAGGAAGCACCCAGGAGGCUGGUUCCCUAGCAGUGCCCGGCAUGUGGCUAGCGCAGAGGAUCAUGGGAAACCAUUGCCGGAUGUGGUCUUGGGGAGAGGCGAGAAGAGAUGCAAUGGCUGAUGUGGCUUCUGGUGCUCCAAGUCUCAGUCUCCCUACAUAGUCUGUCACCUGAUCUACACCCCGAGUUUGGAAUGACUUGUAGUCAGCCACUGGAAGAGCCCUCUGAGUGCCAGGCACCGAGCAUCACUGCCCAGAAUCUGUGAGGUAGCCCAGCAUGUUGAUGUGUAUGCCUUUGUCCAUUUCACAGGUGAGAAAAAUGGGACUCAGAGAGGUUAAAAGCCUGAGAGGAAUCAGCCAGCUUCUAAGAAACAGAAAAUCACAAGCUGGUCCCCAGAUGAUAUGGUUCCUGCCACCCUUUAUACUGAAUUAUAUGAAAACUGAAGAAAAAAAGACCCCUGGGAGACAUCUCAUCCCUGGGAGAUGGUCAGGAUGGGACCUGGCUUGACCAGGAGGUUGUCCAGGGUCAGAGAACGCCCUCAGUUCUGGAGACGUGGCUCAUCAGGUAAGAGUGCACGUCACUGUUGUAGAACGCCAGAGUGUGGGGGACCCAUACUGAGGGACACACAGUUGCCGGUGACUCCAGCUCCAGGGGAUCUGACACCCUCCUCCCCAGCCCUCUGUGCACUUGGGCACAUGCUCACUCGAAUGUCUAUAUACCCUCACAGACACAUAAAAAAUGAAAACAAAUUUAGAAACCCCAACCACCCCCAAUCCCACAUGAGGACACAGCAUGUAGACCACAGUGGGCAUGUAGAAUACUUCUUCAACUGGGCAUGAUGGUCUGUAAUCCCAGCACCUAGAGCAAGAAGACUGUCAUGAGUGAGUUCUAAGCCAGCCUGAGGUAAAGUGUGAAGCCCUGUCCUACUAAAAGACCCUCCCCACACGCAUACCGUUUUUUCUUUAAAAAAAAAAAAAAGGUACUUUUUCCCCUGGACAAUGAAUUGGAACAGCCUGAGACAGACUCUAAGCUUCUGUAUCCUUGUUUGUAACGUGGGAUUAGUCAUUCCUACCCAGAACAUCUGAGAGUUAAAAUUCAUGGAGGGGCUGAGAUGUGGCUGGUUAGCAGAAUGCUUACCUAGCGUGCACAAAGCCCUGGGUCCAUCCCCAGCACCACUGAAACCCAAUGUGGUGAUGCAUGCUUAGGACAUUUGCACUGGAGAGGCAAAGGUGGAUGAGGAAUUCAAGAAAAAAAAAGUGAAGAGUGUCUAAUGAACCUUUAGACUAUGAAAAUACGGGGUGCUUCAAAGUAGGGAAUGAGAGAAGGGAUCACCACACCUGUGUCAUGGAUGAAGACUGCCUGUUCAUUUUUUAACUAUGAUUUUCAGGUCCUUUGCUCACCAAAGGAAGCCCAAUUCACUCAAAUGUUUUGAGAACUGUUUAAAUAAAUGCAAGAAAAAUUACUGAUAAAAAAAAAAGAGCAUCCUGGGCUAUAUAAUGAGUUUGAGGUCAGCCUGGGCUACAUGAGACUCAGUCAGUUAAUCAAUCAAUCAAUCAAUCAAUCAAUCAAAGAAUGAAAAGAUCCAGGGCCACUCUGUUAGCAGGCCAGGCUCUCACCACAGGCAGGAAGCCAGCCAGAACCCUGGGCUACCUGUCUCUCUCUCUUUACUGGUGGGAUGGUCUUUGUAGGUAUGCCUUGAUCCCACAUUUGGCUUCAGGAAGAGAGACUAUCUUCCUUCCAUUAUCUGGGUAAGGUUUAACCCAAAUCCAAGUCAUGAGAGGCCUCCAAAGACCUCCUUGCAGCUUAGACUCAAGGCUACCAGCUUUUGCCCACAUUAUCAAGGCUCCACAAUUCAGUCGUCAGCUCAUGCCCCAAACAUAUGAUCAUGUCACCCAGCACAGGAAGAAACCCCUCCUCCAGCUACCUCCACCCUUCUCCCUCCCCAUCUCUGGGGAGCAACAGUUGUUUCUCUCAGAGUUUCCACAAGCUUCUCCACCCCUCAGACCAAUAACCCUCUGUGCCUGGCACAGGCCCUGCCCUUCUUGCCAGGGGCAGCUGCUACUGGGGGAGCUGCCUACCCACGCACUCUCUGGCACCAGGCACUGGUUUAGCAUAAACAGGAGUCCACAGACAGAGCCGACCUAGAGCUCCCUCGGAAAGUGUCCCAGCUGGGACAGUAGCAGAGCCAAGCAGAGGCACAUGUGGGUGCCCUGGGUGCUAGGGUUGGCUUCUUCUAACCUUGGCUGGUUGAUCUAAUCAGAACCACCCUCACAGGGAGGCCAAACGGCACCACCCCAGAUGGAGAGGUUGCAGGUGUGCUCAGGAGCUUGGGUGCAGCUCCAGCACAGAGUGUGAUUUUGGGUUUGGUGCCCAAAAUACAACUCAGGGCAGAACACAGAGGUCAUAGGGGCAUUCGGGAGUGUGUGUAGCACAGGGAGGGUGUGUUGUCCUAGGUCCGUCCCCUAGUUUAGGACUGAGAACAGCCCCUCUGUACGUUGCUCUUGGUGCCCCUGUGUGAUACUGAGCAUGGGGACUGAGCUGAGCCAAUAUUCUAACCUGCCCCUGCUUUGGGGGUGAUAGGGGGAUGGUGAGGAAGGUGGUACUCCCUAGAGGGAUUCCGGUAAAAGUUCAGGGUCAGGAUGGGAAGUGUAUCAUAAGCUGGAAGGUCAUGACAGCAGGGGACAGUGACAGGGGACACUGAGAGCAGGAGCGGUUGGGUUGGUUGAGUGUGUGUGUGAGAGUCAGUCCUGGUAAAUGCCAGUGGGCUGCAUUUAGGAAAGAAGGAAAGAAGCAGGAGAGACAGGGCUGAAGUCACCCCCCACCCCUUUUUAAUUAAAAUUAAAAAUUUGAAACAGUGUUUCUAAGUUGCUAAGGCUGACCUUGAACUUACUCAGUAGUUCAAGCAGAUCUUGAAUUUGGAGUAUUCCUGUUUCAGCCCUAGUAGCCAGGAUUCUAGGUGUGUACCACCAGGUAUGGCUUGCCCCCAUUUUUAUAGUA
rnacentral:sRNA from 1 species